CUAAGUCCCCGCAAAACUGUACUGUCGAAGAUAUCGAAGCGAAGCUCCGCCACGCCGAUCUUCGCCGCCAGCAAUGCGAUGGGAAAUUGUCAAACAAGGCUCGAGCAAAGCCCAGAAGCCCAUCACGGUCCUCAUCUAAUGAGGAAGAUCUUGGUUAGCGCCUUGAAGCGAAGCUCCAAGCUGCUGAGCAGAAGAGUAAUCCAUUAUGGGCAGCAAGUUGGUGCCGAGUUCAGUACAACAAAGUGAGCUGAGCGUGUUAACCAUGUCCAACCUCGACAUCAUGAACCACAUUUACGCAACCCAUGUUCAUGGUGACGAAAAGUUUGAUGUUGAGUCUCUUUUCGUUCUCGUCGAAAACAUCCUUAAGCGUGCCACCCUAAUUGUUGACCAUGUUGCACUGGUACACUACCAUAAUUCUUUAUUAGAAUAAGAUGCUCUCUCUCUCUCUCUCUUGUUUAUUUUCUUUUUCCUAAAACGGAAUUUUAAC